UUGAACGCUGGCGGCAUGCUUUACACAUGCAAGUCGAACGGUAACAGGCCUUCGGGUGCUGACGAGCGGCGAACGGGUGAGUAAUGCAUCGGAACGUGCCCAGAGGUGGGGGAUAACGCAGCGAAAGCUGUGCUAAUACCGCAUGUGAUCUGAGGAUGAAAGCGGGGGACCAGGCAGCAAUGUUUGGCCUCGCGCCUUUGGAGCGGCCGAUGUCAGAUUAGGUAGUUGGUGGGGUAAAGGCCUACCAAGCCGACGAUCUGUAGCUGGUCUGAGAGGACGACCAGCCACACUGGGACUGAGACACGGCCCAGACUCCUACGGGAGGCAGCAGUGGGGAAUUUUGGACAAUGGGCGCAAGCCUGAUCCAGCAAUGCCGCGUGCGGGAAGAAGGCCUUCGGGUUGUAAACCGCUUUUGUACGGAACGAAAAGGCUCUGGCUAAUACCUGGGGCUGAUGACGGUACCGUAAGAAUAAGCACCGGCUAACUACGUG
rnacentral:rRNA from 1 species